GAUGAACGCUGGCGGCGUGCCUAAUACAUGCAAGUCGAGCGAAUGGAUUAAGAGCUUGCUCUUAUGAAGUUAGCGGCGGACGGGUGAGUAACACGUGGGUAACCUGCCCAUAAGACUGGGAUAACUCCGGGAAACCGGGGCUAAUACCGGAUAACAUUUUGAACCGCAUGGUUCGAAAUUGAAAGGCGGCUUCGGCUGUCACUUAUGGAUGGACCCGCGUCGCAUUAGCUAGUUGGUGAGGUAACGGCUCACCAAGGCAACGAUGCGUAGCCGACCUGGGAGGGGGAUCGGGCACACUGGGACUGAGACACGGCCCAGACUCCUACGGGAGGCAGCAGUAGGGAAUCUUCCGCAAUGGACGAAAGUCUGACGGAGCAACGCCGCGUGAGUGAUGAAGGCUUUCGGGUCGUAAAACUCUGUUGUUAGGGAAGAACAAGUGCUAGUUGAAUAAGCUGGCACCUUGACGGUACCUAACCAGAAAGCCACGGCUAACUACGUGCCAGCCGCCGCAGUAAUAC
rnacentral:rRNA from 1 species